rnacentral:lncRNA from 13 species
CUCCCUUAAGAAUCAAGUUUCUGGGACAAGAGUCCAAAGAGUAGUUGGAAAAGCAGUCUCUUUCCUUAGGAAUUAUUAACAUUCUGUGUUUUCACUAGUAUAUUAAUUAUUAUAGCUGUUUUCUUGUCUGUAACCAGGCAUUCACUACUGGACUAAAAAUGGCUAUGGAAUUUGCUUUAGGAAGGACCAGCUGAAGCAGCUGUCCAUUAACGUCACUAUCCAACAAAUCGUACACUUGGGACAUCUGAUGGUGAAGAAAAAUAAUAUUUAGAAAGUUCAACUUGCUUCAUACUACUCAAGUGAAAUUUUAAUGGGAACUUGUCUGUUGUCUCGGCUUGUUCAUGUCUGGGCAUAAGGCAGAAACUGGAAAAAGACAGACUUUCUCUAUUUUGACCAGGUUGGUCUUGAACUCUUUGGCUCAAGUGAUCCACCUGCCUCAGGCUCUCAAGUGCUGGGAUUACAGCUGCACACCACCAUGCCCAGUCAAAGUUAAUACAUUUCACCUCUUCAAGAACUCCUUUGAAAUCCAAGGCUGUUCAAUGAAAAAAAUGGUCUCAGAUGAAGAAGACAGCAUGAUCUUGUGGUUCCUCCUACCUAAUGACUGUGCAUGGCGGGGGUACUCCAGGCAUUCCACUGUUGCCUCCUGUGUCACUCAUCUAAAAGGCAAGUUCUGCUCUGGGGCGUCCCAUCAGGCAGGCCACAGCUUUCUCAGGGCUUCACCACAGACCGAGGCUCUUCCCUAA